AUAUAAAUAUUUUUUAAGACUUGACUCUACCUAUGGUACACGCCAGCAGCUGUAAAAGCAACCGUGCUAAGAAUGCAUGCGACUGGUUUUGCCAUCGGAGUGGAUGUAAUGAUGCUACUUGUACAAAAUAUCGCUGUAGAUGUAAUAGCUGUAAGUAAAUUACUUCCUUAGAAUAUUUCAUAAUUCGUAUCUGAUAACUGUCAUACACAUAUUCUUUAGUAAAUACAAAUGUUGAGGAAGAAAAUGACAAUCUUAAACAAUGCUAUAAAAGUGCAGAAUGUUUCUUUUUCAUAUCAAAUAAGAAGUUAGUUUAUUAACGACUUAGCAGUUCAAAAGUUCCAAUAGAAAUUUGGGUUUCGUAAAAAUUUCAACCUCGCCUUAUUUUUCAAUUAAAGGUAACAAAAUUUAAAAUCUAGCACAAAAUUGAACUGUUUAAAAGUUAUCUUGAGGCAGGGACGACUUUCGCGUGGUAGUUUUAACCUUAAAAUAUACAUGAAAUUAGAAUUAUAAAGGUUUGAGAAAUGAUCGAAUGUCUUUUACAAUUCUACUGGUAACAAAUGAUUUCAUGGAAGAAAAAGAAUUAUACUGCCAUUUUGUUAAUAGUUUGUCAUGAGAUAAAAUAUCUUAUAAACAGGACAAAUCUGAUUUUUGUUUUUACUAAAAUAAACCAUGAGUGAUUUACCUCAUAAUGAUUUUAUUAGUAUUUAGAACCUCGCCAUUUAGUGUCUCCCCAAAGUUUUGAUUGCAUUUAAAGUUGAAGUGGAUAAUUUCGAAAUAUUUUGAUACUUUAUUAAUAUUUACAUGUAUUAAUCGAUGAUUAAGUUGACCUUCUUCUUUUUUCGAUCACUUAAGCAUCUCUCCUCAUAGGAUUUUCUGAAUAUUUACUCCAAAACUUUUUCGUAUCUUCUGAAAUAAAAACAGAACAGUUUGCUUAAAAAAAAUAUCUUCAAAUGCUCGUCCGUUUGAAAAAUACUUUUCCCUUGUUGUGAAUUCGUUUUGACAUUUCAAUUUUUAAUUUAUCUGAACAUUUUAAUCAAUUUAACCCUACUUCUUCUUAGUCUAACACAUUGUCUAAUUGAUUUAAAUAACGAAAAAAACAACAAUGCUUGCACGAAUAGGUACACACGAUCAUUUAAACAGGGCCGUAACUAGCCUCUUGAAAGUGAGGCAAAAUAUAUUCUUCACAGAGCGAAGCGAGGCAAAAAAAAUCUGCGAGGGGCCAGGGUUAGGGUUAGGAUGGUCUUUAAGAGACAAACGAAAACACUUCAUGCAUCUCACAGAAAGAACAAAAUAUUUGAAUAACGUAUGCAAAGCUUUACCAUUGUUUGUUAUCGAUCAUAAAAGGGCAUGAAAAGGUUAAUAACCUCACAAAAUUAUGAGUUAUAACCAAUAUAAAAAUUAAAGAAUGUGGUAUUAUUGCAACUGCGAAAUCGGGGUUCAAAUGAAGUGGGAACAAUAAAAAAUAGUCAACAAGAAGAAAUACUCAUACUUUUUAGUUAUCUAAAAAAGGCCCAAACGUGAAAAAUGAACAAAAAAUCAAACGAUUUGCGAAACAUAAACUUAAACCAAUAACGAGUAAGGUUAUCUGAACCAUGCGUUUUUCUUUUUUGAGUGUAUGUUUAGUUAGGAGGAGUCGGGCGUGGUCUUUUUGACAGAUAAGUAUUGUUGUUAUUAUCAUAUUUCUGUAAUGCAUAUGAAUUAUUGAUACAUAUAAACAUUUUCACUUAAAUUUUUUUUGAAAUAAAUUAUUAGCCCUAACACAAAAUAAGACAUUAUGAUGUAAAAUUAUAUUUUUAAAAAUUAUAAACAAGUAUACGCUUUGCAACAUUUCAUAAUUAUUUAUCUAUAAUUGCAGGUUAUACCCCGUCAAAUUGUCUUCCUUCAUUUCCCGGUCGCCCACGACCACCUGGCUGUUGAAAGUGUGGUCAAUGUAAAGCUGGUGACCUACAAAUGUGACUUUAGAAUAUUGAAAUAGAUGUUAUAUUUAAUAUUGUGUCAGAAUAUCAAAUUAGAAAGUCA
rnacentral:lncRNA from 1 species